UUUAAUAACUCUCAAAAUUGGUUGAAACCGAUCAUCCGACCAUAACUUUUUUCCCUUUUCCUCAAACCUUAACUGUUCUUCGUAAGCUCCGCCGGUCGUCGUUGUUUUUCAUCUUCGUUCAUCUUCACCUUGCUUCGUCUUCAUCUCCAUUCGAUUCUAAUGCGUGGAACAAGAGCAGAGGAGUUCUUGCUGAAAUCAGUUCAAUUAUUUGAUGUGAGCAAGCAAAAAUGCCAUUUGUUGAAGUGUAAAACUCAUAGAUUUGUUGUUUGUAAAAUUGAUGUUUUGUAUUGUGACAUAAAUUAACAAUUUAAUACAUAGUAGUAUUGUGUA